UUGAUGGAGGGACGGAGAAGGCUAGGCCAGCUUGGCGUUGGUUGUCCAAGUUUAAGGUGGUAGGCUGAAAUCUUAGGUAAAUCCGGGGUUUCAAGGCCGAGAGCUGAUGACGAGUCGUCUUUUAGAUGACGAAGUGGUUGAUGCCAUGCUUCCAAGAAAAGCUUCUAAGCUUCAGGUAACCAGGAACCGUACCCCAAACCGACACAGGUGGUCGGGUAGAGAAUACCAAGGCGCUUGAGAGAACUCGGGUGAAGGAACUAGGCAAAAUGGCACCGUAACUUCGGGAGAAGGUGCGCCGGCUAGGGUGAAGGAUUUACUCCGUAAGCUCUGGCUGGUCGAAGAUACCAGGCCGCUGCGAUUGUUUAUUAAAAACACAGCACUCUGCAAACACGAAAGUGGACGUAUAGGGUGUGACGCCUCCCCGGUGCCGGAAGGUUAAUUGAUGGGGUUAGCGCAAGCGAAGCUCUUGAUCGAAGCCCCGGUAAACGGCGGCCGUAACAAUAACGGUCCUAAGGUAGCGAAAUUCCUUGUCGGGUAAGUUCCGACCUGCACGAAUGGCGUAACGAUGGCGGCGCUGUCUCCACCCGAGACUCAGUGAAAUUGAAAUCGCUGUGAAGAUGCAGUGUAUCCGCGGCUAGACGGAAAGACCCCGUGAACCUUUACUGUAGCUUUGCACUGGACUUUGAGCCUGCUUGUGUAGGAUAGGUGGGAGGCUUUGAAGCGUGGACGCCAGUUCGCGUGGAGCCAUCCUUGAAAUACCACCCUGGCAUGCUUGAGGUUCUAACUCUGGUCCGUAAUCCGGAUCGAGGACAGUGUAUGGUGGGCAGUUUGACUGGGGCGGUCUCCUCCUAAAGAGUAACGGAGGAGUACGAAGGUGCGCUCAGACCGGUCGGAAAUCGGUCGCAGAGUAUAAAGGCAAAAGCGCGCUUGACUGCGAGACAGACACGUCGAGCAGGUACGAAAGUAGGUCUUAGUGAUCCGGUGGUUCUGUAUGGAAGGGCCAUCGCUCAACGGAUAAAAGGUACUCCGGGGAUAACAGGCUGAUACCGCCCAAGAGUUCAUAUCGACGGCGGUGUUUGGCACCUCGAUGUCGGCUCAUCACAUCCUGGGGCUGAAGCCGGUCCCAAGGGUAUGGCUGUUCGCCAUUUAAAGUGGUACGCGAGCUGGGUUUAGAACGUCGUGAGACAGUUCGGUCCCUAUCUGCCGUGGACGUUUGAGAUUUGAGAGGGGCUGCUCCUAGUACGAGAGGACCGGAGUGGACGAACCUCUGGUGUUCCGGUUGUCACGCCAGUGGCAUUGCCGGGUAGCUAUGUUCGGAAAAGAUAACCGCUGAAAGCAUCUAAGCGGGAAACUUGCCUCAAGAUGAGAUCUCACUGGGAACUUGAUUUCCCUGAAGGGCCGUCGAAGACUACGACGUUGAUAGGCUGGGUGUGUAAGCGUUGUGGGGCGUUGAGCUAACCAGUACUAAUUGCCCGUGAG
rnacentral:rRNA from 1 species